rnacentral:rRNA from 1 species
AUUGAACGCUGGCGGCAUGCUUUACACAUGCAAGUCGGACGGCAGCGGGGGUGCUUGCACCUGCCGGCGAGUGGCGAACGGGUGAGUAACAUAUUGGAAUGUACCGAGUAGUGGGGGAUAACCAAUCGAAAGAUUGGCUAAUACCGCAUACGUCCUGAGGGGGAAAGCAGGGGAUCUUCGGACCUUGCGCUAUUUGAGCAGCCAAUAUCUGAUUAGCUAGUUGGUGGGGUAAAGGCCCACCAAGGCGACGAUCAGUAGCGGGUCUGAGAGGAUGAUCCGCCACACUGGGACUGAGACACGGCCCAGACUCCUACGGGAGGCAGCAGUGGGGAAUUUUGGACAAUGGGGGCAACCCUGAUCCAGCCAUGCCGCGUGUCUGAAGAAGGCCUUCGGGUUGUAAAGGACUUUUGUUAGGGAAGAAAAGGGAAGUGCUAAUACCACUUUUUGCUGACGGUACCUAAAGAAUAAGCACCGGCUAACUACGUGCCAGCAGCCGCGGUAAUACGUAGGGUGCGAGCGUUAAUCGGAAUUACUGGGCGUAAAGCGAGCGCAGACGGUUACUUAAGCAGGAUGUGAAAUCCCCGGGCUCAACCUGGGGAACUGCGUUCUGAACUGGGUAGCUAGAGUAUGUCAGAGGGGGGUAGAAUUCACGUGUAGCAGUGAAAUGCGUAGAGAUGUGGCGGAUUUCCGAUGGUGAAGGCGCCCCCCCGGGGAUAUACCGACUUACAGCUCAAAAACCGCGGCUAGCAACAUAAUAUAAGAUCUGGUAGCCUUGGGGUAUUCCCCAGUGAGUGUGAUUUUUUCGUGGGGUAAAUAAUACAUAUGCACGGGCGCGGGAGCAGGGAUUUGUUUCUAUCGGGGAAUGAUUAUUCUACCCACCACACCUCCCCCCACCACCCCCGGGGUGAAAGGUGAGAGCUGGGGCGGGUUGAGACA